UACAGAGGUCCCAAGCGUUGUUCGGAUUCAUUGGGCGUAAAGAGCUCGUAGGCGGUCUGUCGCGUCCGUUGUGAAAACUCGAGGCUCAACCUCGGGCUUGCAGUGGAUACGGGCAGACUAGAGUGCGGUAGGGGAGACUGGAAUUCCUGGUGUAGCGGUGGAAUGCGCAGAUAUCAGGAGGAACACCGAUGGCGAAGGCAGGUCUCUGGGCCGCAACUGACGCUGAGGAGCGAAAGCAUGGGGAGCGAACAGG
rnacentral:rRNA from 1 species